CCUGGGACUGCGGCCCGCCUCCAUUCGUGCGUCUCCUUCUCUCCGCAGGUCAGCUCCGCCGAAGGCGCCGCCAAGGAAGAGCCCAAGAGGAGAUCGGCGCGGUUGUCAGCUAAACCUCCUGCAAAAGUGGAAGCGAAGCCGAAGAAGGCAGCAGCGAAGUGUAGGUAGAAGUUUAGCACUGCACAGUCAUCAGAAGAGGCAAGAUUAAUUUCCUUGACAUUGAGGAGUUGGGUAAUUACUAAAUUUGUCCUUGUUAAAUAAAGAAAGUUCUGUUUUUGUGAUCCUUUUAAAAAUAAAGCUUCACGGAAGGAUAAAUCUUCAGACAAAAAAGUGCAAACAAAAGGGAAAAGGGGAGCAAAGGGGAAACAGGCCGAAGUGGCUAACCAAGAAACUAAAGAAGAUUUACCUGCAGAAAACGGGGAAACGAAAACUGAGGAGAGUCCAGCCUCUGAUGAAGCAGGAGAGAAAGAAGCCAAGUCUGAUUAAUAACUAUAUACCAUGUCUUAUCAGUGGUCCCUGUCUCCCUUCUUGUACAAUCCAGAGGAAUAUUUUUAUCAACUAUUUUGUAAAUGCAAGUUUUUUAGUAGCUCUAGAAACAUUUUUAAGAAGGAGGGAAUCCCACCUCAUCCCAUUUUUUAAGUGUAAAUGCUUUUUUUUAAGAGGUGAAAUCAUUUGCUGGUUGUUUAUUUUUUGGUACAACCAGAAAAUAGUGUGGGAUAUUGAAUUAUGGGAGGCUCUGACUGUCUCGGGGGGUCAGCGGUCAGCUUAACAUUCCAUAGAUGGGGGGUUAGUUUUUAUAUCC
rnacentral:sRNA from 1 species